rnacentral:misc_RNA from 1 species
CUAAGAUGCCCCUAAGAUGCCUUAUGUUCAACUCUUGCAACCCAAUAGGAAGGAGAGAGAACGUGCAACUUUACAAAGAAAACACUACUCAAUCAUGUCUUUUUUUUUUUUUUUAAACGAAAGGAACAUAAAAUGGAAAUUUUGAUGUGUGAAAUUGCAGACAGAUCAGUCCAAAAUGUUGAGGAUUGCCAUUUAAGAACUACAUAAGGUCAUGACACAAAUCACCAACUGCCGAGAAGAAACUCAAAAUCAUUCUGCUGUUAAACGUUUUACUAUCUAUGGAAUGAAGAGGUUUGUAAAUUCUAGCUAUCAAGCCUCUCAAAAAAGUACAAAUACCCCAUAUCCUUUGGAGGAUUUACAGAAGCUCCAACCUUGCUGUCGUUGAAAAUAACCCAUCUUCCAUCUUUUAGGACAUGGGCAACAUAAUGGCCGCACUGUGUAGAAGUUCCAAUAUGGCUCACU